AGCAAGGGCGCACAUGCCCGGCCAAUGACGGGCUUUGGACCCGUCGACGGGAGUUCGAAUCUCCCCCGGGCUACCA
rnacentral:tRNA from 1 species